rnacentral:lncRNA from 1 species
GCAUACUGCAUCAAACUUCUUGCUCUCACACACCACAACAAAAUGGUGUAGUUGAGAGGAAGCAUAGAUAUCUACUAGAAACCUCAAGGGCUCUACUUCUCCAUUCACAGCUAUUGUAGUUGAGAGAAAGCAUAGAUACCUGCUAGAUACCUCAAGGGCUCUACUAUUCCAUUCACAGCUACCUAUUAGAUUCUGGGGUGAUUCUUACUGCAACCUACCUCAUUAACAUUUUUCCUUCCAAACUUCUUCACAAUAAAUCCUCCUUUGAGUUACUGUUUGGACAGAUUCCAUCCUAUAACCAUCUUAAAACUUUUGGUUGCCUCUGUUUUGCCUCAGUCCCUAAACAGAAUAGGGACAAAUUCCAGCCCAGAGCUGAUCCCUGUAUUUUUCUGGG